GUAGGUGGCAAGCGUUGUCCGGAAUUAUUGGGCGUAAAGCGCGCGCAGGCGGUUCUUUAAGUCUGAUGUGAAAGCCCACGGGCUCAACCGUGGAGGGUCAUUGGAAACUGGAGAACUUGAGUACAGAAGAGGAAAGCGGAAUUCCACGUGUAGCGGUGAAAUGCGUAGAGAUGUGGAGGAACACCAGUGGCGAAGGCGGCUUUCUGGUCUGUAACUGACGCUGAGGCGCGAAAGCGUGGGGAGCAAACAGGAUUAGAUACCCUGGUAGUCCACGCCGUAAACGAUGAGUGCUAAGUGUUAGGGGGUAUCCGCCCCUUAGUGCUGCGGCUAACGCAUUAAGCACUCCGCCUGGGGAGUACGGCCGCAAGGCUG
rnacentral:rRNA from 1 species